rnacentral:rRNA from 1 species
AGAGUUUGAUCAUGGCUCAGGUUUAACGCUGGCGGCGUGCCUAAUACAUGCAAGUCGAACGGAACACUAUUUUUGAGAACCUCGCUCCUUUGCGGGAUUGUCAUCAGUAGUGUUUAGUGGCGGACGGGUGAGUAACACGUUGGUACCUGCCCUUUAGUGGGGAAUAACUCGGCGAAAGUCGGGGCUAAUACCGCAUGUGAUCCUUCGGGGAUUUAAAAGGCCCUUCGGGGCGCUAAAGGAGGGGCCUGCGUCUGAUUAGCUUGUUGGUAAGGUAAUGGGCUUACCAAGGCGAUGAUCAGUAGCUGGUUCGAGAGGAUGAUCAGCCACACUGGAACUGAGAUACGGUCCAGACUCCUACGGGAGGCAGCAGUAAGGAAUCUUCCGCAAUGGACGAAAGUCUGACGGAGCAACGCCGCGUGCAGGAUGAAGGCUUUCGGGUCGUAAACUGCUUUUGUAUGGGAAGAUUAUGACGGUACCAUACGAAUAAGGACCGGCUAACUACGUG